rnacentral:misc_RNA from 1 species
CAACUGGAAGAACAGGCUAG